GCUGAGAAACAGAGCAAGGGCUCUGGCGGACAGAGUAGUGUGGAAUUUUUACAGAGCAGCUUAGGUUCCAGCCAACUUGGGCCAUCACUUCUUCCUGAACAUUCCCCACCUCUUCCCAUUUCCCAGGUUUUGAUCAACCUUGUUCUGUUCUGCCACCUGGAAAGCCUCCACCUCAUUUCUGCUGGUCAAAAUCUCUUAAGUUCACUAAGGCACUGUUUAAAAAAAAAAAAAAUCCUAUUUAAAAAUACUGGCCCUUUGCCCCCACCCUUCACGUUAUACAAGGUCUUCUUCCUUCAAUUUCCCAGGUCCACACAACCUCACAUGUAGAAAGAGAAACGGUUUCCUGCAAAGGAAUUUCCCAAACUCAUUUACUACCAAUCAACUAUAGAAAACACGUGCUUCUGCCACUGCAGGUUUAUUCAAUCACUGGUGAACUCAACGGUGACUUAAAUUCAGUGAAGGUGGCCGCCCCCUACCAGGUGGGUAUGGCCUCAGAACCACUCUGCCUUCUUCCUUCCAGCACCGAGGAAAGCGUUAAGAGUCCCGAGCAUGCGGCUGCGGAUGGAAGCAGCUAAAGUAAUGACUGUACUUCUGAGAAGGCCUGCAGUGCUUUUGGAAGAAUUGGUCCUGUUUUCCAAUGUAAGCCUUGCUCUGGGUGCUGUAACCACUGGAGGCAGAAUAGGAAGCUACUUUUUAUUGCACAGAGAUGGAGAACUUAUGAAACAAGUAUGAGAAAUCCACCGAAAAGACCAAAGAAGACCUUUGAACUUCACAAUGAAUAGAAAGCACUGGUACAAUAUGGAGUGUAAGACUGAGCGAUUGUGUGUCUGUUACUGAUCUUGGAGUCAUCACCUUGGAAAGCAUACAAACAUUACAAAAAUAAAAAUACUGAUGUGCUCUUUCCAGAUAUUAAAAACUGAAUCUUU